rnacentral:rRNA from 1 species
UACGAAGGGGGCUAGCGUUGUUCGGAAUCACUGGGCGUAAAGCGCACGUAGGCGGAUUUGUUAGUCAGGGGUGAAAUCCCGGGGCUCAACCUCGGAACUGCCUUUGAUACUGCAGAUCUCGAGUCCGGAAGAGGUGAGUGGAAUUCCUAGUGUGGAGUUGAAAUUCGAAGAUAUUAGGAAGAACACCAUGGGCGAAGGCGGCUCACUGGUCCGGUACUGACCCUAAGGUGCAAAGGCGUGGGAGCAAACAGG